rnacentral:rRNA from 1 species
CUACGGGUGGCUCCAGUGGGGAAUAUUGCACAAUGGACGAAAGUCUGAUGCAGCAACGCCGCGUGGAGGAUGACACAUUUCGGUGCGUAAACUCCUUUUAUAUAAGAAGAUAAUGACGGUAUUAUAUGAAUAAGCACCGGCUAACUCCGUGCCAGCAGCCGCGGUAAUACGGAGGGUGCAAGCGUUACUCGGAAUCACUGGGCGUAAAGAGCGUGUAGGCGGAUAGAUAAGUUGGAAGUGAAAUCCUAUGGCUCAACCAUAGAACUGCUUCCAAAACUGUCUAUCUAGAAUAUGGGAGAGGUAGAUGGAAUUUCUGGUGUAGGGGUAAAAUCCGUAGAGAUCAGAAGGAAUACCGAUUGCGAAGGCGAUCUACUGGAACAUUAUUGACGCUGAGACGCGAAAGCGUGGGGAGCAAACAGGAUUAGAUACCCCAGUAGUC